rnacentral:rRNA from 1 species
GUGGGGAAUCUUGCGCAAUGGGCGAAAGCCUGACGCAGCCAUGCCGCGUGAAUGAUGAAGGUCUUAGGAUUGUAAAAUUCUUUCACCGGGGACGAUAAUGACGGUACCCGGAGAAGAAGCCCCGGCUAACUUCGUGCCAGCAGCCGCGGUAAUACGAAGGGGGCUAGCGUUGCUCGGAAUUACUGGGCGUAAAGGGCGCGUAGGCGGAUCGUUAAGUCAGGGGUGAAAUCCCAGAGCUCAACUCUGGAACUGCGCUUGAUACUGGCGAUCUAGAGUGUGAGAGAGGUAUGUGGAACUCCGAGUGUAGAGGUAAAAUUCGUAGAUAUUCGGAAGAACACCAGUGGCGAAGGCGACAUACUGGCUCAUUACUGACGCUGAGGCGCGAAAGCGUGGGGAGCAAACAGGAUUAGAAACCCGGGUAGUCC